rnacentral:rRNA from 1 species
UUUACGGGAGGCAGCAGUGGGGAAUCUUGCGCAAUGGGCGAAAGCCUGACGCAGCCACGCCGCGUGAGGGAUGAAGGCUUUCGGGUUGUAAACCUCUUUCAGCAGGGACGAAAAUGACGGUACCUGCAGAAGAAGCUCCGGCCAACUACGUGCCAGCAGCCGCGGUAAU